rnacentral:rRNA from 1 species
GAUCGCGGCGACGUGGGCGGUUCGCUGCCCGCGACGUCAUGAGAAGUCCACUGAACCUUAUCAUUUAGAGGAAGGAGAAGCCCUAACAAGGUUUCCGUAGGUGAACCUGCGGAAGGAUCAUUG